GACGAACGCUGGCGGCGUGCUUAACACAUGCAAGUCGAACGGAAAGGCCCUGCUUGCAGGGUACUCGAGUGGCGAACGGGUGAGUAACACGUGGGUGAUCUGCCCUGCACUUCGGGAUAAGCCUGGGAAACUGGGUCUAAUACCGGAUAGGAGCCAUUUUUAGCGUGAUGGUUGGAAAGUUUUUUCGGUGUAGGAUGAGCUCGCGGCCUAUCAGCUUGUUGGUGGGUUAAUGGCCUACCAAGGCGGCGACGGGUAGCCGGCCUGAGAGGGUGGACGGCCACAUUGGGACUGAGAUACGGCCCAGACUCCGACGGGAGGCAGCAGUGGGGAAGAUUGCACAAUGGGCGCAAGCCUGAUGCAGCGACGCCGCGUGGGGGAUGACGGCCUUCGGGUUGUAAACUCCUUUCGCUAGGGACGAAGCUUUUUGUGACGGUACCUAGAUAAGAAGCACCGGCUAACUACGUG
rnacentral:rRNA from 1 species